rnacentral:lncRNA from 1 species
AAACACUGUGGAAAAAUCUGGAUGUUCUGCUCCUAAUGCCAUAUUAUUCCUUGCUGGCGAAGAGAAAGGAGAAGAGGCCUGCAGAGGGGGAAUGUCACUUGGAACAUCAGCAUCUGUCAUCAUGGCACUUCCAGAAGCUCAGACAUGAAAUGGUUUGAAUUUGGACAGGAGAGGAGAGUCUCUGGGUGCUGAGGGAAGUCAAAUUCAAAUUAUGGAAAUGCAUGUGGAGGUGGACUUGCAGAAUCAUGUAAAAAUCUCUGAAAUCUAGAAUACUGAUGAUUCCUUCUACUGGUACCUGCUUACUAUUUGAAACCACAUCAGCUCCAGAAGGCAGCUGGCUGAGGAAAUAUAACUCGCUGAAGGCGGUUACCUUUGUUCGAAGCCAACUGAGACAGCACCAGCACUCAGUAAUUACAGUCGUACAGUUUCCAGGAGACUCCUUCUUCACCAGACCUGUCGUCUCGUGUCCCCAUUUGUAACACUGUUCAUUAUAUCCAACCUGCUGCCGUCACUCUGGAGCUUUCAAAAGAAAUGUCAGAGGAAGCCAUAUUAUGAACAAUAAAGGAAAUAGAAAGACAGACUUUGUUGCUCUA